UUGGCCCUGAAUUAAGGCCAGCAGUUUGCUGAAGCCAUUGGUUUCAAGCAGGAGCCUAAAGAAUUAUAUUUCUAUGGUCUGGUGGCCAUUUCAUUACUUCAGAAAUGUAGUGGUCAAUUCAUUAGAAAUAAACAUGA
ensembl:snoRNA